rnacentral:lncRNA from 1 species
CCUUUCAGCGAUAAGUACGAUCGGCAAUUGAAACAAACUCAGAUUGUUCAAACGGUAGAUAAAAACAUGCAUUUGAAUUAAAGAUGCCCUCGGCAUCAAUGUGUUCGGUACAUAAAAUAAAAAUAGAAAAAAAAUAAUAAUAAUUCUGCUAUUACAAAUAAACGGCAAGAGGUCCUUAGGCUUCGUCGCCGUCAGCAGCCUCGGCAAAACCAGAACCUUCGGCGACGUCCUCCCCCUCAUACUCCUCGAUCAUUUCCUCGGUUAUUCGUUCCGGUAAGGGGGGAGGGCCGGCGAUGAAGUUCAGGUUCAGCUUUUGCCCAGGGUUGUACCGUUUGAACCGGUACAACAGGUCCGCCAUCUCCGAGCCCACUUCCUUAUCCAGAAGGACAAUGAACUCUUCAGGCGAGCGGUACCCCGGAUAGCUGACCGAACGGCAGCCUCGAUCUCCGCAGCCUUGGCCCGCUCCGACUCCUCUAAGGCCACCUGCACCGCCUCUUUGGCAGCCUUGGCAUCCCUCGCUGUUGCCAGCGCUGCCUCCAGGAGACCAUUCAUCUCCUCCACCUUCUCCUCC